CGACCCAUGGCUGCAGCACUGGGCCAUUCCGAAGUCAUUGUUUACUUGUGUCCCCAGUCCCCUCAAACUGUUUCGUUAAUCGGAACAUUCUACAUCGGAAUGGAUUGAACCCGUAAAGGACGUUAUUUAUCUCACAGCAGCAGUAUGCAGUCAAGAUGCCUUCCACAAUCCUGCAGCGGCUGGAGGACCAAGGCGUUCAGGGCUUUCCAUGGGAGGUUGGAGGUGGCAAAACUGAUGAUCUUUAGAUGCGUCUACCGGCACACAAAACAAUUGCUACGAUUUAGCAGCAGCAGUGCAGUGAAAACGGAUGAAAAAUCGCAACUUACAGUGUCUGGUGAAAUAUUCCGCGACCAGUACCUCGUAACAUCAACAGCCCAGGCCUCGG